AUACAGCUGACGAGUCUCAAAUAGGACGAAACGCAUGUCCUGGAU
rnacentral:hammerhead_ribozyme from 1 species